AGGCAGGCGACGGAGUGGACCAAUACCUACAAGGUCCUCUUGAGAGGAAGGCAGCAGUAAUUGACCCUGUAACUAACUGAAUGCAUCUGGACUGUUGAAGAUGGAGAAAAUCAUCUCCAUGAGCAGAGCUAAAAAGAAACCUGGGAAUCCUUGAGAGCUGGAUGAAACCAUCA